rnacentral:rRNA from 1 species
AUUGAACGCUGGCGGCAGGCUUAACACAUGCAAGUCGAGCGGGGUGAUGGUGCUUGCACUAUCACUUAGCGGCGGACGGGUGAGUAAUGCUUAGGAAUCUGCCUAUUAGUGGGGGACAACAUCUCGAAAGGGAUGCUAAUACCGCAUACGUCCUACGGGAGAAAGCAGGGGAUCACUUGUGACCUUGCGCUAAUAGAUGAGCCUAAGUCGGAUUAGCUAGUUGGUGGGGUAAAGGCCUACCAAGGCGCAGAGCUGUAGCGGGUCUGAGAGGAUGAUCCGCCACACUGGGACUGAGACACGGCCCAGACUCCUACGGGAGGCAGCAGUGGGGAAUAUUGGACAAUGGGGGGAACCCUGAUCCAGCCAUGCCGCGUGUGUGAAGAAGGCCUUAUGGUUGUAAAGCACUUUAAGCGAGGAGGAGGCUCUUUUGGUUAAUACCCAAGAUGAGUGGACGUUACUCGCAGAAUAAGCACCGGCUAACUCUGUGCCAGCCGCCGCAGUAA